AUAAUACUCCCUCCAUCCGGAAUUACUUGUCAUCAAGAUGGAUGUGUCUAGAACUAAAAUGCAUCUAGAUACAUCCAUUUCAAUGACAAGUAUUUUCGGAUGGAGGGAGUAGUAG
rfam:Triticum aestivum genome assembly, contig: Triticum_aestivum_CS42_TGACv1_scaffold_041057_1BL